CCCCUCUCAGGGUCACACCUGGAGAUUUUCCAGUACUCUACCAGUCUUGACUCUGGGAGGGAGAGUCAAGCAGAGGCAUAUCCAUUCCAUUCCUAGCUUGGGCAGAGCCUUGUGAGUGGAAGGCAAUCUGCUACAAGU
rnacentral:snoRNA from 1 species